CUAGAAUGAUACAUAAAUAUAUCCUUACUCCUCCUGGUUAGUUACACUUUUCAUUUAAAAUGUUCCUGUUCUGUAAGGCCAGAUCAAUAGCACUACUGGCCAUGCCUCCAUUUCUGUUGCUGCCCCCAGUUCCUGGCAGCAGCCUGCAGGGAACUCCACAGGUGGGGCCCAAAGUAGGGCUGAGCAUGAGCUAUCUGAGCCAGAGCAACCUUGGAUCUGACA
rnacentral:snoRNA from 1 species